rnacentral:lncRNA from 1 species
CCAUAACACAAUAGCAUCCACAAUGUAGUCUUUUAAAGAGCCUUUGUUUAGGAGAGAUUUUCUCUCUAAUAGUUUUAUGUUUUCUUUUAUGUUUUCUUUUAUAUUAGGUUUUUAUAUGUAGGCCAAUUGGCCAAACUCUACAAUAAUCAUGUUUUUAGUAUGUUUUUCUUUUCGUCUGAUUUAUCGUCUCAAUAGUUUGCAACUAAUAGCUUCCGCAUGACGCCUUCUCAAUUUCGAACCCAACAAAUGGUAUCAGAGCCUAUGGUUCAAUGAUCUAGUGGUUUGGUAAAGCAAGGUUGAAGACAAGUCCAAGGCAGUUCUAAUCAAUUUGCAAUCAAUUAGAUGAUAAUGAAGAUUUUGUCCAACUACAUGUGGAGAAGAUAUUUCAAUUAUAUUUUCAACAAUCCUGCUGUCACAUCAUAAAGCUCUCUUUUAACCCUAUUUAGGGCUUCAAUAUUUUUAACCCAAAAGAGAUAAUAUAUUUUUAACCUAAAAGGGCUCAAUUUGUAAGCAUGACAAACAACAGAGAUAAAUGAAGAUUAUGUGAAGAACCAAAAUUAUGCAUAUGACAUGAAGAAGGCGGAUCAAGUCAAGAAAAUCAAGUUAAAAAGGGGAGAUUUGUUAAGAUUUUUGUCCCGAUUUUCUUACCAAAUUUAAGUUUUACUUUUUCUUGUAAGGAAAAUAAAAGUAACCAUAAAUAAUUUUACUUUUCCUUAAAGAAAAAUAUAAAUUUUUUCCAUAUUUGGCAAACCUCUUUCUUGGAGGAAAGGUUUUGUACAUCUAUAAAUAGAAGACCCCCUUCUCAUACCAUAACACAAUAGCAUCCACAAUGUAGUCUUUUAAAGAGCCUUUGUUUAGGGAGAGAUUUUCUCUCUAAUAGUUUUAUAUUUUCUUUUAUAUUAGGUUUUUAUAUGUAGGUCAAUUGGCCAAACUCUAUAAUAAUCAUAUUUUUAGUAUGUUUUUCUUUUCGUCUGAUUUAUCGU